rnacentral:misc_RNA from 1 species
GUGAAUCAUCGAAUUUUUGAACGCAAAUUGCACUCUCUUCGGAGAGUAUGCCUGUUUGAGGGUCAGCCUAAAAAAAAAUCGACUUAGUCGCUGUUUCGCGGUGACUUUCGUCGGGAAUUUGGUUAUCUUAAACUUUUGUGAUUUAAGCGGCUUAAAAUUUUCUUUACGAUUCCACGUACUUUUCUAAGAUUCACUUCUUAUACGUUUAAGGUAUCGAUCUUUAUUAGACGUGGCCGUUGCACCGGAUCUCGUCCAUUAAUAUCAC